rnacentral:rRNA from 1 species
GCGGACGGGUGAGUAAUACUUAUCUUACCUGCCAUUUAGUGGGGGAUAAAUACCGCAUGUUCUGGCUUCGGCCAGCAAAGGAAGUUUUCGAACUUUCGCUAAACGAUGGGGAUAAGUCGCAUCAGCUAGUUGGUGGGGUAAAGGCUCACCAAGGCAAAGACGCGUAGCCGGGCUGAGAGGCUGAUCGGCCACAGGGGAACUGAGACAAGGUCCCCACUCCUACGGGAGGCAGCAUUGGGGAAUCGUGGGCAAUGGGGGCAACCCUGACCACGCGAUACUACGUGAAGGAGGAAGGUCUACGGAUUGUAAACUUCUAUGGGUAGCAAUAUCCUGAAAAAGUCACGACUAACUACGUGCCAGCAGCCGCGGUAAU